rnacentral:rRNA from 1 species
UACGGAGGGUGCAAGCGUUAUCCGGAUUCACUGGGUUUAAAGGGUGCGUAGGUGGGUUGGUAAGUCAGUGGUGAAAUCUCCGUGCUUAACAUGGAAACUGCCAUUGAUACUACUGAUCUUGAAUUUUCAGGAGGUAAGCGGAAUAUGUCAUGUAGCGGUGAAAUGCUUAGAUAUGACAUAGAACACCAAUUGCGAAGGCAGCUUACUACAAGAAUAUUGACACUGAUGCACGAAAGCGUGGGGAUCAAACAGG